rnacentral:rRNA from 1 species
GGAGGAUCCAAGCGUUAUCCGGAUUUAUUGGGUUUAAAGGGUGCGUAGGCGGUUUGAUAAGUUAGAGGUGAAAUGUUAGGGCUUAACCCUGAAACUGCCUCUAAUACUGUUGAGCUAGAGAGUAGUUGCGGUAGGCGGAAUGUAUGGUGUAGCGGUGAAAUGCUUAGAGAUCAUACAGAACACCGAUUGCGAAGGCAGCUUACCAAACUAUAUCUGACGUUGAGGCACGAAAGCGUGGGGAGCAAACAGGAUUAGAUACCCUG